CCAGAUACAAAAGUUUGAAAGCCGAAACAAGCACAAAGUCGAACAGCAUCGAGUACCUAAAGAUAAAAAAAAGUUGUGCAAAAACGGCCAGGGUUUUCUGUUAUUUACCAGAACAUCCUUAUCAUUUAGAAUAAUUUAUACUUUUGCAAGAAAACACAUCAUUUUUUGCUGUAUAUUUAUCAAAUUUUAAAAAAAUUGCACUAUUUACGUUUUCAUGAAAAUUGGCAACAUAAUCUUCUCGCGUAUGCAAACCAAAUGUCAUUUUAAAAAAUAGGGGUCCAUGAACUCGUUUUCAAGUUAAAUAAGUUUGAAGGAUAAAUAUCAGUCGAAAACUGAAUCUUUUCCCGAUAAGUCAUAGUUUGACGUCGCGAAAAUAACAAUUUACGUUAGCAACGCAUUACCUCCCUGUAACUGUAUCGUAGGCCCUUGAUAUAACAUUAUCACAGAUAAAGGCAACAGUAGUAAACCGGUGUUUAAAAGUCAUAAAUCGAUUGAGAG
rnacentral:lncRNA from 1 species